UACAGAGGUCCCAAGCGUUGUUCGGAUUCACUGGGCGUAAAGGGUGCGUAGGCGGUUUGAUAAGUCUGAUGUGAAAUCCCGCAGCUUAACUGCGGAACUGCAUUGGAUACUGUUUGACUAGAGGAAUGGAGGGGAGACUGGAAUACUUGGUGUAGCAGUGAAAUGCGUAGAUAUCAAGUGGAACACCAGUGGCGAAGGCGAGUCUCUGGACAUUUCCUGACGCUGAGGCACGAAGGCCAGGGGAGCAAACGGG
rnacentral:rRNA from 1 species